AGGAAGGUAGUUAAAAAUAACAUUUAUUUUGCAAAUAAAAAGUAUUGAAUUAUUGUCAAUCCCUCUUA
rnacentral:tRNA from 1 species